rnacentral:rRNA from 1 species
GGGGAAUAUUGGACAAUGGGCGAAAGCCUGAUCCAGCAAUGCCGCGUGAGUGAUGAAGGCCUUAGGGUUGUAAAGCUCUUUUACCCGGGAUGAUAAUGACAGUACCGGGAGAAUAAGCCCCGGCUAACUCCGUGCCAGCAGCCGCGGUAAUACGGAGGGGGCUAGCGUUGUUCGGAAUUACUGGGCGUAAAGCGCGCGUAGGCGGCUUUGUAAGUCAGAGGUGAAAGCCUGGAGCUCAACUCCAGAACUGCCUUUGAAACUACAUCGCUAGAAUCAUGGAGAGGUUAGUGGAAUUCCGAGUGUAGAGGUGAAAUUCGUAGAUAUUCGGAAGAACACCAGUGGCGAAGGCGACUACCUGGCCCAUUCUUGACGCUGAGGCGCGAAAGCUAGGGGAGCGAA